rnacentral:rRNA from 1 species
UUGACCCUGGGUCAGGCGGGACUACUCGAUGAAUUUAAGCAUAUCAACUAGCGGAGGAAAAGAAACUUAUAAGGAUUCCCUAGUAACGGCGAGCGAAUAGGGAAUAGCACAACCUUAGAAUCGGGCGGCUCCAUCGUCCGAAUUAUAGUCUGGAGAAACAUCCUCAGCAGCGGACCGGGCCCAAGUCCCCUGGAAGGGGACACUAAAGAGGGUGAGAGCCCUAUUGUGCUAGGACCCUGUCGCACUACGAGGCGUUGUCUAUGAGUCGGGUUGUUUGAGAAUGCAGCCCAAAUUGGGUGGUUAAUUCCGUCCCAGGCUAAAUACGGGCGAGAGACCGAUAGCGAACAAGUACCGCGAGGGAAAGAUGAAAAGGACUUUGAAAAGAGACUCAAAGAGUGAUUGAAAUUGUUGGGAGGGAAGUGGAUUGGGGCCAGUGAUGUGCCUCGGUCGGAUGUGGAACGAUGUUAUGCCGGUGUGCCGAUCAACUCGGGGAGUGAAUCAACGUUGAUUAGGGGCGGCCAAAGCCCGGGCUUUUGAUAUGCUCGUGGAACGUCAUCUCCUUGAUUGUGGAAGGCAACAUGCACCUCUAUCAUGCUUCGUCAUAUGCAUGCUCCGGACGCUGGUCUGUGGGCUCCCUAUUCGACCCAUCUUGAAACACGGACAAAGGAGUCUAACAUGUGUGUGAGUCAAUGGGUGAGUAAACCCACAAGGCAUAAGGAAUCUGAUUGGUGGGAUCCCCCUGAGGGGUGCACCGCUGAUCGACCAUGAUCUUCUGUGAAGGGUUUGAGUGUUACCAUACCUGUCGUGACCCGAAAGAUCGUGAACUAUGCCUGAGCGGGGCGAAGCCAUAGGAAACUCUGGUGGAGGCCCGUAGCGAUACUAAUGUGAAAAUCGUCCGUCUAACUUAGGUAUAGGGGCAAAAGACUAAUCGAACUGUCUAGUAGCAGGUUCAGUUUCCCUCAGGAUAGCUGGAGCUCGCGUGCGAGUUCUAUCGGGUAAAGCUAAUGAUUUGAGGCAUCGGGGGUGCAAUGCCCUCGACCUAUUCUAAAACUUUAAAUAAGUAGGAUGGCGCAAUUGCUUUAUUGAGCUACGCCACGGAAUCAAGAGCUCGAAGUGGGCAAUAUUUUGUAAGUAGAACUGGCGAUGUGGGAUGAAUCGGAAGCAGGGUUACAGUGAUAAAAUGCGCACUAACCUAGAUCCCACAAAAGGGUGUUGGUCGAUUAAGACAGCAGGACAGUGGUCAUGGAAGUCGAAAUCCGCUAAGGACUAUGUAUCAACUUACUUGCCAAAUCAACUAGCCCCGAAAAUGGAUGGCUCUUAAUCACGCGACCUACACCCGGCUGUCAGGCAAGUGCUAGGCCCCGAUGAGUCGGAUGGAGCGACGAUCUCUUCAAAACCUUGGGCGUGAGCCUGGGUGGAGCGGCUGUCAGUGCAGAUCUUGGUGGUAGUAGCAAAUAUUCAAAUGAGAACUUUGAAAGCCGAAUAGGGGAAAGGUUCUAUGUGAACGGCACUUGCACUUGGGUUAGUCGAUCUUAAGGGUUGGGGAAACCCUGAUAUAUAGCGCGUUUCACGCGUACUCUUAAAGGGAAUUAGGGACAUGGCGGUUGACGGCAACGUUAGAAAGUCCGGAUUUGUCGGCGGGGUCCUAAAGAAGAGUUAUCUUUUUUGUUUAAUAGCAUGCCCACCCUGGAAAUAACUCAGUUGGAGGUAGGGUCCAGCGGCUGGAAGAUGACCGCACAUCCAGUGGUGUCCGGUGCGCCCCCGACGGCCCUUGAAAAUCUGAAGGACCGAGUGUCGUCCAUGCUCGAUCGUACUCAUAACCGCAUCAGGUUUCCGAGGUGAACAACCUCUAGUCGAUGGAACAAUGUAGGCAAGGGAAGUCGGAAAAAUGGAUCUGUAACUUUGGGAAAAGGAUUGGCUCUAAGGGCUUGGCAUGUGGGUCCUAGUCCCGCACCCGUCAGCUGUCGGUGGACUACUUGAGCUGCUCCCGCGGCGAAAGUGGGUCGCCGCGUGCCGGCUGGGGGACGAACUGGGACCGGUUCAUUCGGGGGCCUUUCCCGGACGUUAAACAGCCAACUCAAAACUAGUACGGACAAGGGGAAUCCGACUGUUUAAUUAAAACAAAGCAUUGCGAUGGUCCCUACGGAUGUUUAUGUAAUGUGAUUUCUGUCUAGUGCUCUGAAUAUCAAAGUGACGAAAUUCAACUAAGUACGGGUAAAUGGCGGGAGUAACUAUGACUCUCUUAAGGUAGCCAAAUUCCUCAUCAUCUAAUUAGUGACGCGCAUGAAUGGAUUAACAAGAUUCCCACUAUCUUUGUCUACUAUCUAGCGAAACCAUAGCCAAGGGAAUGGGUUUGGCAGAAUCAGCGGGGAAAGAAGACACUAUUGAUCUUGACUCUAGUCCGACUUUGUGAAAUGACUUGAGAGUUGUAGUAUAAGUGGGAGCGGAAAGGUAAAAGUGGAAUACCACUACUUUUAACGUUAUUUUACUUAUUCCGUGAAUUGGAAGCGGGGCACUGCCCCUUUUUUUGGACCCAAGGCUUGCUUGCAGGCCGAUUCGGGCUGAAGACAUUGUUAGUUGGGGAGUUUGGCUAGGGCGGCACAUCUAUUAAAAGGCAACGCAGGUGUCAUAAGAUGAGCUCAACGAGAACAGAAAGCUCGUGUGGAACAGAAGGGUAAAAGCUCGUUUGAUUCUAAUUUCCAAUACGAAUACGAAUCGUGAAAGCGUGGACUAACGAUCUUUUGGACCUCUGAAAUUCGAAGCUAGAGGUGUCAAAAAAGUUACCACAUGGAUAACUAGCUUGUGGCAGCCAAGUGUUUAUAGCGACGUUGCUUUUUGAUCCUUCGAUGUCAGCUCUUCCUAUCAUUGUGAAGCAAAAUUCACCAAGUAUUGGAUUGUUCACCCACCAAUAGGGAACGUGAGCUGGGUUUAGAUCGUCGUGAGACAGGUUAGUUUUACCCUACUGAUGACAGUAUCACAAUAGUAAUUCAACCUAGUAUGAGAGGAACAAUUGAUACAAUUGGUCAUUGCGCUUGGUUAAAAAGCUAGUGGCGUGAAGCUACCAUGCACUGGAUUAUGACUGAACGCCUCUAAGUUAGAAUCCGGGCUAGAAGAGACUCAUGCGCUCGCCGUCCUCUUGUCGACCCGUAGUAGGGGCCUUUGUCCCCCAAGGGCAUAUAUUGUUGUCUAGGUCAUCGCGGCGGAAAAGCCGCGGUGGCCGCCUUGAAGUAUAAUUU